UGAGUGUGUCCUGGAUGUAAAUAAAAAGCCUCUUUCCUAUAUGGCUCAGCGUAUACCUUUGGAUGGUAGUGAGGGAAUACACUUGAGACACAAUAUCAAGGAUGAAGGGAAAAAGGUUCUACCACCAGGAGCUCAAAGAAUUGCUUUGGAAUUUCUUGAUUCAAAAGCUUUUAGCAAAGAUUAUUCACGUCAUCUGAAAGGAGAACCUGCAGUGAAAAAGAAACAUCUGGAAAUGCUGGGAUACCAAGUAGUUCAGGUGAGCAGUCAGCAAGACUUUGUGUCCUUUCUGGAUUGUAUCAGCAGUGCAGAAUGAUCCAUUUUCCUCACAAUGGAUUUAGAGACAGUUUUAUCAUUAAAAACACCUACUGGGAGAGAGCAAUUUUUGUAUUUAGGAGGGAAAUUCUAAGCUGUUCUCAAAAUGGUGUAAGGACUUCACAGAACUCACACCUCUGAAAGAGGGUCAAGCAAAACUUAAGUCUUAAGGUCCCAGUGUAACGUUACUGCAGGUAAACAAGCAAUCUCAUUGUAGCCUGAGUAAAGGAGAAAAAGUGAAAUGAGAGUUUCAGUUCAAUUCACUGAAGAUUUCCCUGGCAGAAGAAAAUGGAACAUACAUUCCUUGAGUGGUAAGACAAUUUUGCCAGCUGCCAGAUGGCACAUGGCUGAUGUUUGUCUGCUGCAGUGAUAGUAUUGUGACAGAGAACACUAGAGGCCAGAGUUAAUUCAGCACCAGCACUGAAACAUUUGGGAAAUGGAGACUCAUUAAUGCAGAGGCCCCUAUAUAUAUAAUUAUUCACCUAACCUAAUUUUAAGUAGAAUCCUUUAAGCUUUAAAUUUUGUUGGUUGGGGUUUUUAAAAAACAGAAUAAUCAUCCUUUCUCGUGCUAUACUACUGAUAUACCAUUCCAGUCUGAUACAUUAACAUUACAAACUACAGUGACCUGAGAUUUUUCUCUCAAUUUGGGUUUUAAAACAGGGGAUGGUGUAACAGAGUUGUCACAGCCUGUAUUGUGUGGGCAUCUGUUUUAUAGCUCUGCAACUAUGCUGCUUUUUGGAAGCAGACUGACUGAACUUAGAGGACAAUCUUACAAUAAGAAAUUGAUCUUUUCAGUAUUAGAAUAAGCCAGGCUUUUGGAAGGACACAAGUGUUUGUACCAUUCUGUUCUACAGAUCCCUCACUUUGAAUGGAAUUCUAUGGUUCUGUCAACAAAAGGUGAACAGCUGGAAUACCUGAGACAGCAGCUGUAUGGACUACAGUGAUAUCAGACAUGCAGUCUAAAGUACUUCUAUAAAAACAGUUUAUGUACCAAGUGUCUCGUAAUCCUGGAAUAGUUAAGUUUCAAAAAUCUCUUUAUCUGUA